rnacentral:rRNA from 1 species
UACGGAGGAUCCAAGCGUUAUCCGGAUUUAUUGGGUUUAAAGGGUGCGUAGGCGGCUUUUUAAGUCAGGGGUGAAGGACGGUGGCUCAACCAUCGCAGUGCCCUUGAUACUGAAGAGCUUGAAUAUACUAGAGGUAGGCGGAAUGUGACAAGUAGCGGUGAAAUGCAUAGAUAUGUCACAGAACACCAAUUGCGAAGGCAGCUUACUAGGGUAUUAUUGACGCUGAGGCACGAAAGCGUGGGGAUCAAACAGG